rnacentral:rRNA from 2 species
ACAGGGAUUGCCCUAGUAACGGCGAGUGAAGCGGCAACAGCUCAAAUUUGAAAUCUGGCUCUUUCAGAGUCCGAGUUGUAAUUUGCAGAGGGCGCUUUGGCGUUGGCAGCGGUCCAAGUUCCUUGGAACAGGACGUCACAGAGGGUGAGAAUCCCGUACGUGGUCGCUGGCCUUCGCCGUGUAAAGCCCCUUCGACGAGUCGAGUUGUUUGGGAAUGCAGCUCUAAAUGGGAGGUAAAUUUCUUCUAAAGCUAAAUACUGGCCAGAGACCGAUAGCGCACAAGUAGAGUGAUCGAAAGAUGAAAAGCACUUUGGAAAGAGAGUCAAAUAGCACGUGAAAUUGUUGAAAGGGAAGCGCUUGCAGCCAGACUUGCCUGUAGUUGCUCAUCCGGGCUUUUGCCCGGUGCACUCUUCUGCGGGCAGGCCAGCAUCAGUUUGGGCGGUUGGAUAAAGGUCUCUGUCAUGUACCUCCUUUCGGGGAGGCCUUAUAGGGGAGACGUCAUGCAACCAGCCUGGACUGAGGUCCGCGCAUUUAUGCUAGGAUGCUGGCGUAAUGGCUGUAAGCGGCCCGUCUUGAAACACGGACCAAGGAGUCUAACAUCUAUGCGAGUGUUUGGGUGUCAAGCCCGAACGCGUAAUGAAAGUGAACGGAGGUGGGACCCCUUUAGGGUGCACCAUCGACCGAUCCUGAUGUCUUCGGAUGGAUUUGAGUAAGAGCAUGGCUGUUGGGACCCGAAAGAUGGUGAACUAUGCUUGAAUAGGGUGAAGCCAGAGGAAACUCUGGUGGAGGCUCGCAGCGGUUCUGACGUGCAAAUCGAUCGUCAAAUUUGGGCAUAGGGGCGAAAGACUAA